rnacentral:rRNA from 1 species
GAUGAACGCUGGCGGCGUGCCUAAUACAUGCAAGUAGUACGCUGAAGGAAGGAGCUUGCUCUUUCCGGAUGAGUUGCGAACGGGUGAGUAACGCGUAGGUAACCUGCCUGGUAGCGGGGGAUAACUAUUGGAAACGAUAGCUAAUACCGCAUAACAGUAGAUGUUGCAUGAUAUCUACUUAAAAGGUGCAAUUGCACCACUACCAGAUGGACCUGCGUUGUAUUAGCUAGUUGGUGAGGUAACGGCUCACCAAGGCGACGAUACAUAGCCGACCUGAGAGGGUGAUCGGCCACACUGGGACUGAGACACGGCCCAGACUCCUACGGGAGGCAGCAGUAGGGAAUCUUCGGCAAUGGACGGAAGUCUGACCGAGCAACGCCGCGUGAGUGAAGAAGGUUUUCGGAUCGUAAAGCUCUGUUGUAAGAGAAGAACGAGUGUGAGAGUGGAAAGUUCACACUGUGACGGUAUCUUACCAGAAAGGGACGGCUAACUACGUG